ACAGUUUGUGAGCAAAGAAAGUGGAUGUGAGAGGCCUGAGAAAAUUGAAACUUAAAAGCUUAAGUUACGGGAAACUGAAACCUAACCAAGCUUAACCAGCUUGUUCCGCUUCUGUACAAUUGCUUGGCGUGCCCAUGUAUUCCGGAUCAAUCAUUAUUGCCUGGCACAUCCGUAUAUUCUUGAUCAACCAUUGUUACUUGGCACAUCCGCGUACUCCUGAUCAAUCAUUGUGAUACCCGUACCCCCGGUUGUGGUCUGACCUAAAGGCAGGAACCAAUCGAAUACUGUUAAGUGUCCAACUUUAAACACCAACCAAUCGCAGCUCUGUAACUGUGGAAAAUUCCUGAUUUCCCCAUGACUUGUUUGUACCUGUCUAUAAAAGGGGUGUAAAAACCUCUCUCAGGGCCUCUUGGCGUCACCGGCAACGGGGGCACAGAGGUCCAGGUUCGAACCUGCAAUAAAUGACCCUUGCUGCUUAGCUUUGA